rnacentral:rRNA from 1 species
GUUGGCUUAGAAGCAGCCAUCAUUUAAAGAAAGCGUAAUAGCUCACUGGUCGAGUCGGCCUGCGCGGAAGAUGUAACGGGGCUAAACCAUGCACCGAAGCUGCGGCAGCGAACGUAUCACUUAAAGCGAUUCAGCGGGUUACGAUUGACGGAGCGAAGCGACGUCAAAGCGUAUACAAAGUCGAGUCGGUUUAAGGAUACGUUCGUUGGGUAGGGGAGCGUUCUGUAAGCCCGUGAAGGUGGCCUGUGAGGGUUGCUGGAGGUAUCAGAAGUGCGAAUGCUGACAUAAGUAACGAUAAAGCGGGUGAAAAGCCCGCUCGCCGGAAGACCAAGGGUUCCUGUCCAACGUUAAUCGGGGCAGGGUGAGUCGACCCCUAAGGCGAGGCCGAAAGGCGUAGUCGAUGGGAAACGGGUUAAUAUUCCCGUACUUGGUGUUACUGCGAAGGGGGGACGGAGAAGGCUAUGUUGGCCGGGCGACGGUUGUCCCGGUUUAAGCGUGUAGGUGUGUGUUCCAGGUAAAUCCGGUUCACUUUAACACUGAGGCGUGACGACGAGGCACUACGGUGCUGAAGCAACAAAUGCCCUGCUUCCAGGAAAAGCCUCUAAGCAUCAGGUAACAUCAAAUCGUACCCCAAACCGACACAGGUGGUCAGGUAGAGAAUACCAAGGCGCUUGAGAGAACUCGGGUGAAGGAACUAGGCAAAAUGGUGCCGUAACUUCGGGAGAAGGCACGCUGACACGUAGGUGAAGUGAUUUACUCAUGGAGCUGAAGUCAGUCGAAGAUACCAGCUGGCUGCAACUGUUUAUUAAAAACACAGCACUGUGCAAACACGAAAGUGGACGUAUACGGUGUGACGCCUGCCCGGUGCCGGA